rnacentral:rRNA from 1 species
UAUGGGGGGAGCAAGCGUUGUUCGGAUUUACUGGGCGUAAAGCGCACGUAGGCGGAUCGAUCAGUCAGGGGUGAAAUCCCAGAGCUCAACUCUGGAACUGCCUUUGAUACUGUCGAUCUGGAGUAUGGAAGAGGUGAGUGGAAUUCCGAGUGUAGAGGUGAAAUUCGUAGAUAUUCGGAGGAACACCAGUGGCGAAGGCGGCUCACUGGUCCAUUACUGACGCUGAGGUGCGAAAGCGUGGGGAGCAAACAGG